rnacentral:rRNA from 1 species
CCUACGGGAGGCAGCAGUGGGGAAUAUUGCACAAUGGGGGAAACCCUGAUGCAGCGACGCCGCGUGAGUGAAGAAGUAUCUCGGUACGUAAAGCUCUAUCGUCAGGGAAGAAAAUGACGGUACCUGACUAAUAAGCCCCGGCUAACUACGUGCCAGCAGCCGCGGUAAUACGGAGGGGGCAAGCGUUAUCCGGAUUUACUGGGUGUAAAGGGAGCGUAGGCGGGAGAACAAGUCUGGAGUGAAAUCCCGGGGCUUAACCCCGGAACUGCAUUGGAAACUGUGCGGCUGGAGUGCAGGAGGGGUAAGCGGAAUUCUUGGUGUAGCGGUGAAAUGCGUAGAGAUUAGGAGGAAUACCGGUGGCGAAGGCGACUUACUGGAAUGUAACUGACGUUGAGGCGCGAAAGCGUGGGGAGCAAACAGGAUUAGAUACCCGAGUAGUC